rnacentral:rRNA from 1 species
UACGUAGGGAGCAAGCGUUGUCCGGAAUCAUUGGGCGUAAAGCGCGCGUAGGCGGCCCGGUAAGUCCGCUGUGAAAGUCAAAGGCUCAACCUUUGAAUGUCAGCGGAUACUGCCGGGCUAGAGUCCGGAAGAGGCGAGUGGAACUCCUGGUGUAGCGGUGGAAUGCGCAGAUAUCGGGAAGAACACCCGUGGCUAAGGCGGCUCUCUAGUACGGUACUGACGCUGAGACGCGAAAGCGUGGGGAGCGAACAGG